AGAGCGAACGCUGGCGGCAGGCCUAACACAUGCAAGUCGAGCGGCCGUAGCAAUACGGCAGCGGCAGACGGGAGAGUAACACGUGGGAACGUACCCUUCGGUUCGGAAUAACUCAGGGAAACUUGAGCUAAUACCGGAUAUGUCCGUAAGGAGAAAGAUUUAUCGCCGAGGGAUCGGCCCGCGUCCGAUUAGCUAGUUGGUGGGGUAAUGGCCCACCAAGGCGACGAUCGGUAGCUGGUCUGAGAGGAUGAUCAGCCUCACUGGGACUGAGACACGGCCCAGACUCCUACGGGAGGCAGCAGUGGGGAAUAUUGGACAAUGGGCGCAAGCCUGAUCCAGCCAUGCCGCGUGGGUGAUGAAGGCCCUAGGGUUGUAAAGCUCUUUUGUGCGGGAAGAUAAUGACGGUACCGCAAGAAUAAGCCCCGGCUAACUUCGCGCCAGCAGCCGC
rnacentral:rRNA from 1 species